rnacentral:rRNA from 1 species
UCAGAACGAACGCUGGCGGCAUGCCUAACACAUGCAAGUCGAACGAGACCUUCGGGUCUAGUGGCGCACGGGUGCGUAACGCGUGGGAACCUGCCCUUAGGUUCGGAAUAACUCCCCGAAAGGGGUGCUAAUACCGGAUAAUGUCUUCGGACCAAAGAUUUAUCGCCUUUGGAUGGGCCCGCGUUGGAUUAGCUAGUUGGUAGGGUAAAAGCCUACCAAGGCGACGAUCCAUAGCUGGUCUGAGAGGAUGAUCAGCCACACUGGGACUGAGACACGGCCCAGACUCCUACGGGAGGCAGCAGUGGGGAAUAUUGGACAAUGGGCGAAAGCCUGAUCCAGCAAUGCCGCGUGAGUGAUGAAGGCCUUAGGGUUGUAAAGCUCUUUUACCCGGGAUGAUAAUGACAGUACCGGGAGAAUAAGCUCCGGCUAACUCCGUG